rnacentral:rRNA from 1 species
UGCCAGCAGCCGCGGUAAUACGGAGGAUCCAAUCGUGAUCCGGAAUCAUUGUGUUUAAAGGGUCCGUAGGCGGUCUAAUAAGUCGGAGGUGAAAUCCUACAGCUCAACUGUAGCAUUGCCUUUGAUACUGUUAGACUUGAGUUAUUGUGAAGUAGUUAGAAUGUGUAGCGUAGCGGUGAAAUGCAUAGAUAUUACACAGAAUACCGAUUGCGAAGGCAGAUUAAUAACAAUAUAAGGAAGCGGAGGGAAGAACGCGUGGGUCGCGAACAGGAGUAGAUC